rnacentral:misc_RNA from 1 species
UAAAGAAAAUAACAAAAGUAAAAAUAUUCUUUAUUUUUUACUCUUUAUUUUUCUUUUCUCCUAAAAAUGUUUCUAGAGUAUCAGUUUCGGUUUAAGAGAUACUGUUAAUUAGGGUCGAAUCAAAUGGUCUACUUAUUAUUAUUUCGAUUUUAUUUUGAUUUAGUCUAAUUUUAAUUUAAUUUAUUUUUUUAGCUCAAAUAAGAUCAAUUGGCUUUGGUUAUAUUUUAUGUUGAUUUUGGUAACUUAAAUUUAAUUAAUUUUAAUUUUAAAUUGAAUCAAUCUAGAUUUAAUUUUGAAACGGAGCAUAACCAAAUCAAGCCCAAUUUUUUGUACUUAAUCUAAACCUUAGGAUAUAUUUUUCCCCCUUAAGUAAGCUUUGGGCUUCUCAAAGCCCAACAAAAGUCUUACAAUGAUUAGCUUGAAUUUUAUCUUCUAAUAAUUUUAAUUACUUAUAGCAAUUCUUAUUCAUAUUCG